rnacentral:rRNA from 1 species
GACGAACGCUGGCGGCGUGCUUAACACAUGCAAGUCGAACGGAAAGGCCCUUCGGGGUACUCGAGUGGCGAACGGGUGAGUAACACGUGGGUGAUCUGCCCUGCACUUUGGGAUAAGCCUGGGAAACUGGGUCUAAUACCGAAUAGGACCACGCGCUUCAUGGUGUGUGGUGGAAAGCUUUUGCGGUGUGGGAUGGGCCCGCGGCCUAUCAGCUUGUUGGUGGGGUAAUGGCCUACCAAGGCGACGACGGGUAGCCGGCCUGAGAGGGUGACCGGCCACACUGGGACUGAGAUACGGCCCAGACUCCUACGGGAGGCAGCAGUGGGGAAUAUUGCACAAUGGGCGCAAGCCUGAUGCAGCGACGCCGCGUGAGGGAUGACGGCCUUCGGGUUGUAAACCUCUUUCAAUAGGGACGAAGCGCAAGUGACGGUACCUAUAGAAGAAGCACCGGCCAACUACGUGCCAGCAGCCGCGGUAAUACGUAGGGUGCGAGCGUUGUCCGGAAUUACUGGGCGUAAAGAGCUCGUAGGUGGUUUGUCGCGUUGUUCGUGAAAACUCACAGCUUAACUGUGGGCGUGCGGGCGAUACGGGCAGACUAGAGUACUGCAGGGGAGACUGGAAUUCCUGGUGUAGCGGUGGAAUGCGCAGAUAUCAGGAGGAACACCGGUGGCGAAGGCGGGUCUCUGGGCAGUAACUGACGCUGAGGAGCGAAAGCGUGGGGAGCGAACAGGAUUAGAUACCCUGGUAGUCCACGCCGUAAACGGUGGGUACUAGGUGUGGGUUCCUUCCUUGGGAUCCGUGCCGUAGCUAACGCAUUAAGUACCCCGCCUGGGGAGUACGGCCGCAAGGCUAAAACUCAAAGGAAUUGACGGGGGCCCGCACAAGCGGCGGAGCAUGUGGAUUAAUUCGAUGCAACGCGAAGAACCUUACCUGGGUUUGACAUGCACAGGACGCCGGCAGAGAUGUCGGUUCCCUUGUGGCCUGUGUGCAGGUGGUGCAUGGCUGUCGUCAGCUCGUGUCGUGAGAUGUUGGGUCAAGUCCCGCAACGAGCGCAACCCUUGUCCUAUGUUGCCAGCGGGUUAUGCCGGGGACUCGUAGGAGACUGCCGGGGUCAACUCGGAGGAAGGUGGGGAUGACGUCAAGUCAUCAUGCCCCUUAUGUCCAGGGCUUCACACAUGCUACAAUGGCCGGUACAAAGGGCUGCGAUGCCGUGAGGUGGAGCGAAUCCUUUCAAAGCCGGUCUCAGUUCGGAUCGGGGUCUGCAACUCGACCCCGUGAAGUCGGAGUCGCUAGUAAUCGCAGAUCAGCAACGCUGCGGUGAAUACGUUCCCGGGCCU